AACGAACGCUGGCGGCAGGCCUAACACAUGCAAGUCGAACGCCCUAGCAAUAGGGAGUGGCAGACGGGUGAGUAACACGUGGGAACCUUCCCUAUAGUAUGGAAUAGCCCAGGGAAACUUGGAGUAAUACCGUAUACGCCCGAGAGGGGAAAGAUUUAUCGCUAUAGGAUGGGCCCGCGUAGGAUUAGCUAGUUGGUGAGGUAAUGGCUCACCAAGGCGACGAUCCUUAGCUGGUCUGAGAGGACGACCAGCCACAAUGGGACUGAGACACGGCCCAUACUCCUACGGGAGGCAGCAGUGGGGAAUUUUACGCAAUGGGCGAAAGCCUGACGUAGCGACACCGCGUGAGGGAAGAAGGCCUUCGGGUUGUAAACCUCUGUCAUGGGGAAGAAGGAAGUGACGGUACCCAAGAGGAAGCCCUGCUAACUACGUG
rnacentral:rRNA from 1 species